rfam:Pisolithus tinctorius Marx 270 unplaced genomic scaffold scaffold_24, whole genome shotgun sequence.
GGGUGCGUAGCGCAGUGGUAGCGCGUAUGCUUUGCAUUCAAGCAAUUGAAACUUGUAUAAGGUCCAGGGUUCAAUCCCCUGCGCAUCCA